rnacentral:rRNA from 1 species
UCCGUAGGGGGCAAGCGUUGUCCGGAAUCAUUGGGCGUAAAGAGCGUGUAGGCGGCCUGAUAAGUCGGUUGUGAAAGUCAAGGGCUCAACCCUUGAAUGCCGGCCGAUACUGUCAGGCUAGAGUCCGGAAGAGGCGAGUGGAAUUCCUGGUGUAGCGGUGAAAUGCGCAGAUAUCAGGAGGAACACCGAUGGCGAAGGCAGCUCGCUGGGACGGUACUGACGCUGAGACGCGAAAGCGUGGGGAGCGAACAGG